GACAGAGGAUGCAAGCGUUAUCCGGAAUGAUUGGGCGUAAGGCGUCUGUAGGUGGCUUUUUAAGUCCGCCGUCAAAUCCCAGGGCUCAACCCUGGACAGGCGGUGGAAACUACCAAGCUGGAGUACGGUAGGGGCAGGAGGAAUUUCCGGUGGAGCGGUGAAAUGCGUAGAGAUCGGAAAGAACACCAACGGCGAAAGCACUCUGCUGGCCGACACUGACACUGAGAGACGAAAGCUAGGGGAGCGAAUGGG
rnacentral:rRNA from 1 species